ACGAACGCUGGCGGCGUGCUUAACACAUGCCAGUCGAACGGAAAGACCCUGCUUUUGUGGGGUGCUCGAGUGGCGAACGGGUGAGUAACACGUGAGUAACCUGCCCUUGACUUUGGGAUAACUUCAGGAAACUGGGGCUAAUACCGGGUAGGAGCUCCUGCUGCAUGGUGGGGGUUGGAAAGUUUCGGCGGUUGGGGAUGGACUCGCGGCUUAUCAGCUUGUUGGUGGGGUAGUGGCUUACCAAGGCUUUGACGGGUAGCCGGCCUGAGAGGGUGACCGGCCACAUUGGGACUGAGAUACGGCCCAGACUCCUACGGGAGGCAGCAGUGGGGAAUAUUGCACAAUGGGCGGAAGCCUGAUGCAGCAACGCCGCGUGCGGGAUGACGGCCUUCGGGUUGUAAACCGCUUUCGCCUGUGACGAAGCGUGAGUGACGGUAAUGGGUAAAGAAGCACCGGCUAACUACGUG
rnacentral:rRNA from 1 species